rnacentral:sRNA from 1 species
UUUUUGUUUUUUCUAAACAUAAACUGUGAAAAUAUUAACAGAAACAUAAUACAUAUUUGAUUAGCUGAUUUCUCCCAGCAAAAUAUUAUUUUUUGUCAAUAAUAAUUUAGAAUGAUACAUGUAUCAUGUUAAAGAUAAACUGUGAAAAAAUUAACAGAAACAUUUUUGAUUACCGGUAGCUGAUUUUUUCCAGUAAAAUAUUAUUUUUUGUCAAUAUUAAUUUAGAAUGAUGUCAUGUAAGAGAGAGAGAAUACCAUUUUUUUAAGGGUUAUGUUGAGAAAAAACAUACAGCAAAUAGUGCCAUUUUAAAAAUUACUGCAUGAAAUAAACAUGUCCCUUUUUUCCGCUGGGAUGAUUAAGAAAGCAAUUGAAUUUAUAAUGAAUUAUCUACAACGUUUAUCUUUGAAUUAACGACCAUGUCAUGUAGUAGCGGAACACAGUUUAUGAUUUGUAGAUGAUAUCGUGUAGAUUUUCAAAUUUCAGUGCCCACAGUAUUAGAAAAACUAACCAUUGUAAGCUUCCAUAUUCGAAAUCCAUAUUAUCAAGUAAUGGCAUUCAUGAUUUCUUUACUGGCUUUUUAAAGAUUUUCAACCAAAAACUCACUUUUAGUGCUGUGUGCAUAUAGUCAGCUUCGUAUUCUCUAUCUCCUCAGUUUUAGCCUUUAAAAAGGGCUAUUUUUGAUGCCAUAUAUUUACAUUAAUUGAAAAUUAAGGAAAUUUAUUAAUGAUGAAUAGUUAAUGAAACAUUGCAAAGGCUGAAAAAUGGAUGGUAGUUGACACCAUUAGGCUGUUCUCGUGAGCAUGUGGUUUUUUUUCCUAAAAAAAAACAUGACUGAGAUUUUAAUUUGAAAUGACUGGGCAUUAGCCAAUAUGAAUGAUGCAAUGUAGUUUGUACUCAAAAAGUUGUACCGGUAGCUUAUACCUGUAUGUAUUAAAUGUGAAAUUUGUAAGCAUACAUGAAUUUGUAAAUACCUGGAUAAUUUAAAUUUUUGUAUAUAUAUACUGUGCAUACAGUUCAUGCAAUAUAUUUUAAUACGCCUUGCAUAUAUUUUGAGUUUUUUUUCAAAAGAGGAAAAAAUAAAUUUGCAACAUGU